UACCGAACUGCUCCAAAUGCUCUCCGGACUUCACUAUCAGCCGAUUUUCUACAGUGAUCGACUACUCUCUGAAUCUCUUCCAGACUUCUUCCAGCCACGAUCAACUUUACUCCGAACUUCUUCUGGACUUCGUCAAUGAUCGAGCUUCUCCAGCAGCAGGACUUCUACAAUAACCAGACUCCAUCCAAGUUUCUACGGUGGUCGACCGCCUUUCGAAUUUUAUCAGAGCUCCUACAAGAGUUGGACUCCAUCCGAACUUCUACAGCAGAUGGAUCCCAAACGAAUGUCUACA
rnacentral:lncRNA from 1 species